rnacentral:antisense_RNA from 1 species
UUUUUUUUUAAAGUUCAAGUGAUUCUCCUGGUUUUCCUCAGAAGUCACCUUCUU